ACAGAUUCAUACAUCGACAACUCGGACAUUAGCCUGUGCUUUCUAGUUUUUUUUUCACUGAAAUACCAUGGAAUUAAGUAGAAGACAAAUGUACCCGUGUUGAUAUAAGUGAUUAAGAAAGGACUAAAAAAGUUAUCAUCGUCUAAUAGGCUGCUUGUGAGAAAAGAACUGAUGAGCCAUAAAAAGACGACAAACAAUAAAAGAACAACGCCUAGUGCAUGUUUCCCAAUAGC